rnacentral:tRNA from 1 species
GCGGGCGUGGCGAAACUGGUAGACGCAAGGGACUUAAAAUCCCUCGGCCUUGGCCAUGCGGGUUCGAUCCCCGCCGCCCGCACCA